ACAAGCUGAAGUCAGGGUCUCCUGUUAGUAGGCUUCAAUGUCGUAUAUAAUAACAUUUAGGCUUAUUGACACAAUUCGAAGCUUGCCGAAUGAGAAAUCAGAAGUCCUUGUUUGCUUGAUUGUCAUGGAUGUACAGAUUAAUCUCGUUGAAAAACGUUUACACCGAAGCAAAGUUAAAAAUGUGAUAAAUCUCGGGCAAGUUCUGGAGUUGAAAGGAGCGUCGUUUUUGUCUGGAUUCUAAGCAGCUUUCCUUCGCCAUGGACGUCGGAGAUAAUGAUGUCACCAGAAAGAGCGCCAUCAAACCGCUGUAGCAAAGUCCCCGUGUUUCCAGAUCUCUGUUUGCCGACAGGCUGAACUGGAGGGCGUGGGACGGCCAGUGAGGGAGUAAGGAUGAGAGAACAGCGGCAGAAAGGAGGAGACAGAUGAAAUGAGAUAAAUACGAGCAGCUGGUUGAUCUGCGUUGGAAGAAACAAUAAUGGAGAAUGGUUGGUGGGAGAGACUAAACAAAGAGUGGUGCAGUGGCACAUAUGUGACGUGCAUGCCUGCAACACACCACACAUGGAUACACUCACACUCCUAAUCCUUCUCACCUCUUAAUCAGACAACCAUUAAAAUGGGAUUAGAGACUAUCUGCUGAAAUUCCACAUUUCCAAGCGGGAGAUGUUUGUCUUUGUGUCCUGGUUUAUGAGGUGAGAUUUUCCUCUUUGGAAAGCGACACAAUCCAAAACACUCGCCAUGAUGAAAGCAUGUUUAUCACAUGAAUGAUGUUGUGUUGAAGUCUAAUCGAAGUUGGAAUUAUUAUUAUUUUUAUCCCUAAUUCAGUAUUUGUUACCUCCACCAAGGAGGUUAUGUUAUAUUUGUUUGUCAGCAGGAUUAUGCAAAAACCACAGGCAAGAUGUAAGUCAGCAAAGAACCCAUUACAUUUUGGUGAUGAUCUGGAUCAGUUGGAGGAUCCACGAUAUUUUUUCACUUAUUUUA